rnacentral:misc_RNA from 1 species
AAUUGCUGCUUCUUCAGGCUUUGAGUCAGCAUCAGCGAUUAUAGGUUUCAGCUGCAACCCUUUCUUGAACCAAGAAUUCUCCAUUAUCUUAGAAAUGGAAAUUCUUGUGCUAGGAUUUGGAUUUAAUAUUUUUGAUAUCAGCCUGCGAGCAUCAGGAGGGAACCAGUUAGGACAUUUGAACUCAGCCUUACCGAUCUUUCUG